rnacentral:rRNA from 1 species
UACAGAGGGUGCGAGCGUUAAUCGGAAUUACUGGGCGUAAAGCGCGCGUAGGCGGCUUUGCAAGUCGGGUGUGAAAUCCCUAGGCUUAACCUGGGAACUGCAUUCGAGACUGCAUUGCUAGAGUAUGGGAGAGGGAAGUGGAAUUUCCGGUGUAGCGGUGAAAUGCGUAGAUAUCGGAAGGAACAUCAGUGGCGAAAGCGACUUCCUGGACCAAUACUGACGCUCAUGUGCGAAAGCGUGGGGAGCAAACAGG